rnacentral:rRNA from 1 species
AGAGUUUGAUCCUGGCUCAGAACGAACGCUGGCGGCAGGCUUAACACAUGCAAGUCGAACGAUGUAGCAAUACAUAGUGGCGCACGGGUGAGUAACACGUGGGAACUACCUUUUAGUGGGGGAUAACAGUUGGAAACGACUGCUAAUACCGCAUACGCCCUUCGGGGGAAAGAUUUAUCGCUAAAAGAUCGGCCCGCGUCUGAUUAGUUAGUUGGUGGGGUAAUGGCCUACCAAGACAUCGAUCAGUAGCUGGUCUUAGAGGAUGAUCAGCCACACUGGAACUGAGACACGGUCCAGACUCCUACGGGAGGCAGCAGUGGGGAAUAUUGGACAAUGGGCGAAAGCCUGAUCCAGCCAUGCCGCGUGAGUGAUGAAGGCCUUAGGGUUGUAAAGCUCUUUUAGCAGGGAAGAUAAUGACGGUACCUGCAGAAAAAGCCCCGGCUAACUUCGUGCCAGCAGCCGCGGUAAUACGGGGGGGGCUAGCGUUGUUCGGAAUUACUGGGCGUAAAGCGCGCGUAGGCGGUCAUGCAAGUCAGGGGUGAAAUCCCAGAGCUUAACUCUGGAACUGCCUUUGAAACUGCAUGGCUAGAAUGUGUGAGGGGAUAGCGGAAUUCCUAAUGUAGAGGUGAAAUUCGUAGAUAUUAGGAGGAACACCGGUGGCGAAGGCGGCUAUCUGGCACACUAUUGACGCUCUGGCGCGAAAGCGUGGGAUCAAACAGGAUUAGAUACCCUGGUAGUCCACGCUGUAAACGAUGAGUGCUAGCCGUUAGGAUCUUAGAUCUUAGUGGCGCAGCUAACGCAUUAAGCACUCCGCCUGGGGAGUACGGUCGCAAGAUUAAAACUCAAAGGAAUUGACGGGGACCCGCACAAGCGGUGGAGCAUGUGGUUUAAUUCGAGGCAACGCGAAGAACCUUACCAGGCCUUGACAUGGGUAGUAUGGGGUAGAGAGAUUUACUCCUUCAGUUUGGCUGGCUACCACACAGGUGCUGCAUGGCUGUCGUCAGCUCGUGUCGUGAGAUGUUGGGUUAAGUCCCGCAACGAGCGCAACCCUCGUCCUUAGUUGCCAACAGGUUAUGCUGGGAACUCUAAGGAAACUGCCGGUGAUAAGCCGGAGGAAGGUGGGGAUGACGUCAAGUCUUCAUGGCCCUUACGGCCUGGGCUACACACGUGCUACAAUGGCGGUGACAAUGGGAUGCUACCUUGCAAGAGGAUGCUAAUCUCCAAACACCGUCUCAGUUCGGAUUGCACUCUGCAACUCGAGUGCAUGAAGCUGGAAUCGCUAGUAAUCGUGGAUCAGCAUGCCACGGUGAAUACGUUCCCGGGUCUUGUACACACCGCCCGUCACACCAUGGGAAUUGGCUCUACCUUAAGCUGCCGCGCCAACCGCAAGGGGGCAGGCAACCACGGUCGGGUCAGUGACUGGGGUGAAGUCGAAACAAGGUA